GGCUUAAUUUGACUCAACGCGGGAAACCUUACUAUAAUAAGACAUUAGAAUGAUUGACAGACUAUUUGGUUUUUCUUGAUUGAAUGGGUGGUGGUGCAUGGCCGAUCUUAGUUGGUGGGGUGACCCGUCUGGUUAAUUUCGAUAACGAACGAGAUCCGAGUUGUCUAAUUGGUUGUUUAAUUAUUAUUAUUAGAUAGACCUCCUAGAUGGACUAUUAGCAUGAAGUUAAAGGAAGUUUCGGGCUAAAUCAGGUCUGUGAUGCCC
rnacentral:rRNA from 1 species